CCCUAUUCUUACAUGGGAAAAGACUCGGUGAAGGUGAAAUAUAUAGGGCGUUCCCAUCAGCAAUGCAGCCGGGUCCUAAACAACCGGUACCAGACGCCCUGCAUCAAUCUCCCAAAACCGACGGCCGCGAAAUGCCCUGUUGCAAGUAACUUGUCCGGUCUGUUGUUCAUCGAAUAUCUGUCUAUCUUAUCACUGUCCGUAUCAGCCAAUUUCACCAUGAAUUGAAAACUUCAAAAAGUUAUUGUUGGAAAAUAAAAAGCCCAUGAUGCUAUCAUGCGCCCCCUAGUUCCCUAGAGAUACGAACUCACGCCUCCCCAAACAAGCGCACGGUUGCUAUCCUGCGCUCUUCCCUGACUCCUGCUGCCCCUCUCUCACCGCGUCCUCGUAUCCUCGCCCCCUCUAAACUCUCCCACCCUCCCCUUCCCUUGCUCUCUGUUCUCCUGCUUGAAUGGUCGAUAAUUAGAACAAGACUAGAGAGACGGACAGGCGAGCCCACGCCAAGACAACAAUGAAGCAUACUUCGUCUGAGGCAGCUCCAUCUUUAUCUUCUGCACCCUCUUCAACAGACCAAUCACACGUUGCUACUUCAUCGCCGUCGCUGGCUUCGCCCGAAAAACCCGUUUUAGGUUCGUCCGCCGCUGCUCCGGAGGACUUGGCUAUAGGGUCAAGGGAUGGAGGCGGCGCCCAGGAGUCUGUGACCGUCGAACGCCGGGGCGACUACUCGGCCGUUUGCCGAUGGACGGUGCAUAAUUUUCCACGAAUAAAAGCUAGGGCACUAUGGAGCAAGUACUUCGAGGUCGGAGGUUAUGAUUGCCGUCUCUUGAUAUACCCCAAGGGUGACUCGCAAGCCUUGCCCGGCUAUGUCUCCAUCUACCUCCAAAUCAUGGACCCUCGGGGCACUUCCUCGUCCAAAUGGGACUGUUUUGCUAGCUACCGUUUGGCAAUCGUGAACCUCUCCGACGAUUCUAAGACCAUUCAUCGGGAUUCGUGGCAUCGGUUCUCAAGUAAGAAGAAAUCACACGGGUGGUGUGAUUUCACGCCUUCUACAACAGUAUUGGAUCCAAAACUGGGCUACUUGUUUAAUGGUGAUUCGGUAUUGAUAACUGCUGAUAUUCUUAUUCUUAAUGAGUCCAUUAAUUUUACUCGAGACAACAAUGAGCUGCAAUCAUCGGCAUCUUCUUCUUCAUCCAUGAUAUCUUCCUCUGUUGUUGCGGGCCCUGUGUCCGACGUGUUGAGUGGAAAAUUCACUUGGAAAGUGCAUAAUUUCAGUUUAUUCAAGGAGAUGAUAAAAACACAGAAGAUAAUGAGCCCCGUUUUUCCAGCUGGGGAGUGUAAUUUGAGGAUUAGUGUCUAUCAGAGCUCGGUAAAUGGGGUCGAAUAUCUGUCAAUGUGCUUGGAAAGUAAGGAUACGGACAAGACAGUGAUGUUGUCCGAUAAGAGUUGUUGGUGUUUAUUUCGAAUGUCAGUCUUGAACCAGAGGCCAGGUUCGAAUCACAUGCAUAGGGAUUCGUAUGGGCGGUUUGCUGCUGAUAAUAAAAGUGGUGAUAAUACGAGCUUGGGAUGGAAUGAUUAUAUGAAGAUGUCAGAUUUUAUUGGGCCUGAUUCAGGGUUUCUGGUGGAUGACACUGCAGUUUUUAGUACCUCAUUUCAUGUGAUUAAAGAGUUUAGUAGCUUCUCUAAGAAUGGGGCUUUAAUUGCAGGAAGAAGUGGGAGUGGCGCAAGGAAAUCAGAUGGUCAUAUGGGUAAGUUUACUUGGAGGAUUGAAAACUUCACAAGGUUAAAGGAUUUAUUGAAGAAGAGAAAAAUCACGGGUCUUUGCAUCAAGAGCCGGAGGUUUCAAAUUGGUAAUCGAGAUUGUCGUCUCAUUGUAUAUCCCCGAGGGCAGUCUCAGCCUCCUUGCCACCUUUCAGUGUUUCUUGAAGUUACAGAUUCAAGAAAUACUUCCAGCGAUUGGAGUUGUUUUGUUAGUCAUCGGUUGUCAGUUGUGAACCAGAAGAUGGAGGAAAAGUCUGUUAGUAAGGAAUCUCAGAACCGCUACUCCAAGGCUGCAAAAGAUUGGGGCUGGCGUGAAUUUGUGACCCUCACUAGCCUCUUUGAUCAAGAUUCGGGUUUUCUUGUCCAGGAUACUGUUGUAUUCUCAGCGGAAGUUCUUAUAUUGAAAGAGACAUCAAUGAUGCAGGAUUUGAUUGAUUACAAUUCUGAGCUGAGUUGUAGUGGUUCCCUUACCGAUAGCCAUGUGAAGAGAAGGACAUUUACAUGGAAAGUGGAGAAUUUCCUGUCAUUUAAGGAAAUAAUGGAGACUCGAAAGAUCUUUAGCAAAUUUUUUCAGGCUGGUGGAUGUGAACUUCGGAUUGGUAGGUGGUACUUUUUCUUGCCAAUACAAUUUUUGCAUUCUUGUUCUUAUACUCUGAGCUCAUGUUUCUGUGACACAGGUGUGUACGAGUCCUUUGACACCAUAUGCAUCUAUCUAGAGAGCGAUCAGGCUGUUGGUAGUGACCCAGAUAAAAACUUUUGGGUUAAAUACAGGAUGGCUGUUGUGAAUCAAAAGAAUCCAGCCAAGACAGUGUGGAAGGAAUCCUCUAUUUGUACGAAGACAUGGAAUAAUUCUGUUUUGCAAUUCAUGAAGGUGGCUGAUAUAUUGGAAGCAGAUGCAGGGUUUCUUGUUCGUGACACUGUUGUUUUUGUCUGUGAAAUAUUGGAUUGCUGCCCUUGGUUUGAUUUUUCAGACUUAGAGGUUUUAGCUUCUGAUGAUGACCAGGAUGCUUUGACAACUGAUCCUGAUGAACUCAUUGACUCUGAAGACAGUGAAGGAAUAAGUGGAGACGAAGAAGACAUUUUUAGAAAUCUUCUUUCUCGAGCUGGAUUUCACCUAACAUAUGGAGAUAAUCCUUCACAGCCACAAGUUACUUUAAGAGAAAAGCUUUUAAUGGAUGCUGGUGCAAUUGCUGGGUUUCUGACUGGACUGCGGGUUUAUCUUGAUGAUCCUGUGAAAGUAAAGCGUCUGCUUCUUCCAACCAAGCUCUCUGGUGGUUGUGAUGGGAAGAAGGUUGGUAAGGCCGAUGAAUCUUCCCCCAGUUUGAUGAAUUUGCUGAUGGGAGUUAAGGUCUUGCAACAGGCAAUCAUUGAUUUACUUUUGGAUAUAAUGGUGGAAUGCUGCCAACCUUCUGAAGGGUCCUGUGCUGCUGAUUCUCCUGAUGCAUGCUCGAAAACAUCUCCUGAUAGCAGUGGAGCUGCUAGUCCUCUUGAAUGUGAUAGAGAAAAUGGGGCAGCAGGAUCUGCUCAAUUUCCUGUUUAUGAGAGAUUGGAUUCUGCUGAGGAAGGAAGUGGUAGUACAUCUGCUGUACAAAGUGAUUCAAAUGGUAGUGUUAUUCAGGAGAAAGCUCUUCCUGGACAACCUAUUUUUCCACCUGAAACAUCUGCUGUUGUUUCAGAAAAUCCAUCCUUUCGAUCAAAGACCAAGUGGCCAGAACAGUCUGAGGAGCUCUUAGGUUUAAUUGUAAACUCACUGAGAACCCUUGAUGGGGCUGUUCCGCAAGGCUGCCCUGAGCCACGACGGCGUCCUCAGUCUGCACGCAAAAUUUCUGUUGUGUUGGACAAAGCUCCUAAGCAUUUGCAAUCUGACCUAGUAGCGCUUGUUCCCAAAUUGGUUGAGCCUUCAGAACAUCCACUAGCUGCCUGUGCACUUCUUGAGCGACUUCAAAAGCCAGAUGCAGAACCUGCCUUGCGAAUGCCUGUUUUUGAGGCUCUUAGUCAACUAGAGUGCGGUAGUGAAGUGUGGGAACGUGUUCUGUUGCAAUCAAUUGAGCUUUUGGCUGACUCAAAUGGCGAACCCCUUGCUGCAACUAUAGAUUUUAUAUUCAAAGCAGCAUCUCAAUGUCAACAUCUUCCUGAAGCAGUUAGAUCCGUUCGUGUUAGACUCAAAAAUCUAGGUUUUCAAGUUUCACCUUGUGUCCUUGACUUUCUGAGCAAGACUGUUAAUAGUUGGGGGGAUGUUGCUGAAACUAUACUGAGGGACAUUGAUUGUGAUGAUGACUUGGGUGACAGUUGCUCAGUGAUGUCAUGUGGACUUUUCUUAUUUGGUGAACACGGCACAGCUCCUUCUGGAUUGAAUGUGGUUGAUGAACAGGCUUUCCAAGCUAGUUGUUAUUUUUCUGAUAUUUACAUACUGAUUGAGAUGCUAUCAAUUCCUUGUCUUGCUGUUGAAGCUUCUCAAACCUUUGAGAGAGCUGUAGCUCGAGGUGCAGUUGGUGCUCAGUCUGUAGCCUUGGUUUUGGAGAAGCGUGCCUCCCAAAGACUGACUAAUCAUUCCAGAGAUGCAUCUGAAAGUUUUCCAUGUUCAGAUGUUGUUGCAGAGGGAAACGCCAAUGAACCCUUUGGAGUUCAAAGAGAUGAUUUUACUUCAGUUCUUGGUCUUGCUGAAAAAUUAGCAUUGUCCACAGAGCCAUGUGUGAAAGAAUUUGUAAAGUUACUCUAUUUGAUAUUGUUUAGAUGGUAUGCUGAUGAAUCUUAUCGAGGGACAAUGCUUAAGAGGCUUGUUGACCGUGCCACCAGCACUACAGAUAAUGGACAUGAAGUAGACUUAGAUUUGGAUAUUUUAGUUACUUUGGUCUGUGAGGAGCAGGAAAUUGCUAGAUCUGUUUUGAGUAUGAUACGGGAAGUUGCCGAACUUGCAAAUGUUGAUCGGUCUGCUCUAUGGCACCAGUUAUGUGCUAGUGAAGAUGAAAUCAUUCGCCUUCGUGAAGAAAAGAAAGCUGAGAUUUCCAAUAUGGCUAAGGAAAAAGCUAUUGUUACACAAAAACUGAGUGAAUCCGAGGCCACAAGUAUUCGUCUCAAGUCUGAAAUGAGGGCUGAGAUGGAUCGGUUUGCUCGGGAGAAGAAGGAGCUAGUUGAACAAAUACAAGAAGUUGAAAGUCAGCUUGAGUGGCUUCGUUCCGAGCGGGAUGAUGAAAUAGCAAAGCUCUCUGCAGAGAAGAAAGCUCUUCAGGACCGUGUGCAUGAUGCAGAGGCACAACUCUCACUAUUGAAGUCCCGGAAACGUGAUGAAUUGAAGAAAGUAGUCAAGGAAAAAAAUGCACUUGCUGAAAGAUUGAAGAGUGCUGAAGCUGCACGGAAGAGAUUUGAUGAAGAACUGAAAAGAUAUGCUACAGAAAAUAUCACUCGGGAAGAAAUACGAAAAUCACUUGAGGAUGAAGUUCGUAGGUUGACGCAAACGGUUGGGCAAACUGAGGAAGAAAAGAGAGAGAAGGAAGAGCAGGUUACUAGGUGUGAAGCAUAUAUUGAUGGCAUGGAAUCAAAAUUGCAGGCUUGCCAGCAAUAUAUUCACACACUGGAAGCUUCACUUCAAGAGGAAAUGUCACGUCAUGCUCCUCUAUAUGGCGCUGGUCUGGAGGCCCUGUCAAUGAAAGAGUUGGAAACACUAUCACGUAUCCACGAGGAAGGGCUAAGGCAGAUCCAUGCCCUUCAACAGCGUAAAGGGAGUCCAGCUGGUAGUCCUCUUGUGAGUCCACAUGCCCUUUCUCAUAAUCAUGGAUUAUAUCCCUCUGCCUCCCCUCCAUUGCCUGUGGGCCUCCCUCCAUCACUCAUUCCAAAUGGGGCAGGCAUCCACAGCAAUGGCCACAUCAACGGCGCUGUGGGCCCCUGGUUUAAGCACACUUAAUUAUUGCUUAGGGUUAUGUAGUGCAGAAAAUUGGAUCCCUUUAGCUGGUUGAAAAGUUAGAGCAGAGUGUGGUGAAAUAGAGGAGAUGAAGUGGUUCGGUGAAAUUUUGCCUAUAAAGAAGUUCAGUGGCAUCGUAGUGGCAUUACUCAAUACCGAGAAUUGACUGGGCCGUUUGUGCUGCUCUAGACUUCUAGUCAUCAGGAAUUCGCGUCAAAUCGAUCCUCGGCUCUGAUGGCUUAUGAUGUGAUGGGCCGAAGUUGAUCGAUCCUUAACACUAGAGUCACCAUUUAUAAUUUAUAAUAAUAUUGUUAUAUAUAGAUAUAAAAUUUUAUUCCGACCAAC